UUGUGCUCAAAACAUUUUACUCCUUGUUCUUUCUACCCCUCACCCCAGAUCCAAGCCCAAGCCCAGUUCCGGUGGGGGCUCAGUCCUCCGGAGUCUAGGAGUUGAGGUUCGAGGAGGGCAUGGCAGCCGAUGGGGCAAGAUUGGGGCCUUUUCUGUUCUUGAAAACAUGCUGCCCAGAGGCAGUCCCCGCUCAGAAUACAGGAAGAAGGUGAAGUGAUGGGGCUCAUCAGGCAGAACUGGUAGGGUGCUAGAGCCAGUUCUUUAGCAGCAAUUAGCUGGGCAGGUACCCAGUUUUCUAGAAACAGGGUAGGGAGCCUUGGCUCAUUUUCAUAGCUAAGGGUCCUUGGGGGCUCCAUAGGAGCCCAGUGAGUAGGGUUGUGAACAGUAGGUGGGGGUGGCUAGAGGUCCUAGCCAAUACCACAGGUAGUAAAACACCUGACUGUGGACCGUAGUUGCAAAGAACAAACCCAGAAGAGUGGGCUCAAAGGUCAGGAU
rnacentral:lncRNA from 1 species